GUGUGUGUGUGUGUGUGUUUGUGUGUGUGUGUAGGGUCUUUCCUGCAUAGAGGAAUUUUAGGUGCCCCCCAAAGAAGUUUUAGCCAGCCCCAAAGAAAAAUCACCAGCAACAAAAUGAUAAGAAUUGAAAAUAAAAAUAGAAAUUCCAAUCCUGUCGAAAUGUGUUUAAGAGCAAUUUACCAA